rnacentral:snRNA from 1 species
GUGUCACUUUGGCAGCACAUAUACUAAAAUUGGAACCAUAUAGAGAAGAUUAACAUGGCCCCUGGGCAAGGAUAACAUGCAAAUCCGUGAAGCGUUCCAUAUUUUU